rnacentral:rRNA from 1 species
AUUGAACGCUGGCGGCAGGCCUAACACAUGCAAGUCGGACGAGCGGCGGACGGGUGAGUAAUGUAUGGGGAUCUGCCUGAUGGAGGGGGAUAACUACUGGAAACGGUAGCUAAUACCGCAUACCAUCAGAUGAACCCAUUGGGGAUUAGCUGGUAGGUGAGGUAACGGCUUACCUAGGCGACGAUCCCUAGCUGGUCUGAGAGGAGGAUCAGCCACACUGGUACUGAGACACGGCCCAGACUCCUACUGUAGGUAGCAGUGGGGAAUAUUGCACAAUGGGCGCAAGCCUGAUGCAGCCAUGCCGCGUGUAUGAAGAAGGCCUUCGGGUUGUAAAGUACUUUCAGUCGGGAGGCGUUACCGACAGAAGAAGCACAGGCUAACUCCGUGCCAGCAGCCGCGGUAAUUC